UACAGAGGGGGCAAGCGUUGUUCGGAAUUACUGGGCGUAAAGGGCGCGUAGGCGGCCUUCUAAGUCAUGCGUGAAAUCCCCGGGCUCAACCCGGGAACUGCGUCUGAUACUGGAAGGCUUGAAUCCGGGAGAGGGAUGUGGAAUUCCAGGUGUAGCGGUGAAAUGCGUAGAUAUCUGGAGGAACACCGGUGGCGAAGGCGGCAUCCUGGACCGGCAUUGACGCUGAGGCGCGAAAGCCAGGGGAGCAAACGGG
rnacentral:rRNA from 1 species